rnacentral:rRNA from 1 species
GAUGAACGCUAGCUACAGGCUUAACACAUGCAAGUCGAGGGACCGGCGCACGGGUGAGUAACACGUAUCCACCCUGCCCUUUACUCGGGGAUAGCCUUUCGAAAGAAAGAUUAAUACCCGAUGUUAUGGCUGGGGAUGCGUUCCAUUAGGUUGUUGUUGAGGUAACGGCUCACCAAGCCUUCGAUGGAUAGGGGUUCUGAGAGGAAGGUCCCCCACAUUGGAACUGAGACACGGUCCAAACUCGUACGGGAGGCAGCAGUGAGGAAGAUUGGUGAAUGGGCGUUAGCCUGAACCAGCCAAGUAGCGUGAAGGAUGAAGGCUUAUGGGUCGUAAACUUCUUUUAUAGAAGAAGAUGUAUUAUAUGAAUAAGGAUCGGCUAACUCCGUGCCAGCAGCCGCGGUAAUUC